rnacentral:tRNA from 1 species
ACUUGGAUAGCUUAACUAAAGCAUCGGUCUUGUAGCCUUAGAAUGAGAAAUAACCCUCUCUCCAAGUA